UUUACAGUCUUAAGCAGAAUAUUAUCUGCCAUAUAUAACUGUAAUUUUUUAUUUAUUUUUAGUCCAAUGAGAACUGGAAGGGGAGGUGACUCAUUUAUGAUCAUUUCAUCUUAAUGAUUCAUGACAAUUUCUUGAGCACUUACCACGUCUGAGACAUGGAGUUACACCGUGGGGCUAAGGAGGUGACUAGGAUGAGGUCCCUGCAGUUGAAAAGUUUAUCAUCUAUCACAGGGGACAAGAUCAAUUCAGACACAUUCUUUAUGAUGUGGUAUUAGGAUGAAUUUGCAGCAUGCUGUGGAAAUAGAACAAAGGAGCCCUUGAGAAGCUAACCAGAAGAAGAAAAGGAAUAUCACACCCAUACAAGGAGACCAGCUUAGGUGUGGAUGCAAGGAAAUGCAUAGAGCUUGAGGAGUGGAAGUAGUUUGGUGCAUUAGAACAUAAAACAAAAAGAGGACAAUGACUGCGGAUGGAGAGGGUUUGAAUAUGGAAAGUUGUAGAUAUCAUGUUGUGUCAAAUGUUGCAAACUGAAGAAUUUGUGGUUCUUUGCACAACUUAAAAUUCUGGAGUGAAGGAACACUAUUUGGUACAUACUGUUCUCAUAGAAAGAGAAAAAGCAAGAGAAUUGUCAAAAACACUCAAUGGCUCAUCCAAUUUCUACAAGUGUCAUAUGACUACCCGUUCACUUGUCAUUGGCAAAGGAAGUCACAUGACCAACCCUACUUCUGGAGCCUAGAGGAGCAAACUUUGAAUGCAUCGUCAGUAAGUGCUAUAUGGAAAACCUGGCUGAAGAUAUCGUAAAGGACAUAUGGACAGGAAUCCAAAUUUCAGCCCCCCCACACUGCACUUGCUGGUUGAAGCAUCCCAGCUAUGGUUUGGGUAUAGAAGUUUUCUUCCUGGACCAUCACAAGGUGAAGAGGGCAAGGUGACACCAAGGUGCAUGGAAAUCAAAAUAAGAGCUUCCAAUUCUAACUUGAAAUCCAAUGGCUGGUUCCUCCAUAGCUACAGAAAUUCUCACAUCUGUGGAGGUCUCCAAGGAUAAAAUAAAUGUCUGCGCAGGUCACA
rnacentral:lncRNA from 1 species